GUACAAGCCGAAUUAAGGUGAAACCGCGAAAGGCUCAUUCCAAANNNNNNNUGAGUGGUUCCUUAGAUCGUACCCACAUUUACUUGGAUCCCUUUUUGGUAAUUCUAGAGCUAAUACAUGCAAACAGAGCUCCAACCGGAAACGGAAGGAGCGCUUUUAUUAGAUCAAAACCAAUCGGUGGCGGUCUCCGUCAUCGUACAACUUGGUGACUCUGAAUAACUUUACGCUGAUCGCACGGUCUCGCACCGGCGACGCAUCUUUCAAAUGUCUGCCUUAUCAACUGUCGAUGGUAGGUUCUGCGCCUACCAUGGUUGUAACGGGUAACGGGGAAUCAGGGUUUGAUUCCGGAGAGGGAGCCUGAGAAACGGCUACCACAUCCAAGGAAGGCAGCAGGCGCGCAAAUUACCCACUCCCUGCACGGGGAGGUAGUGACGAAAAAUAACGAUACGGGACUCAUCCGAGGCCCCGUAAUCGGAAUGAGUACACUCUAAACCCUUUAACGAGGAUCAAUUGGAGGGCAAGUCUGAUGCCAGCAGCCGCGGUAAUUCCAGCUCCAAUAGCGUAUAUUAAAGUUGUUGCGGUUAAAAAGCUCGUAGUCGAAUCUGUGUCCCGCGCCGCCGGUUCAUCGUUCGCGGUGUUAACUGGCGUGCCGCGGGACGUCCUGCCGGUGGGCUUAGCUCGAGAGGGCGGCCCAACUCAAUCCCGCCGCGGUGCUCUUCAUUGAGUGUCGAGGUGGGCCGGCACGUUUACUUUGAACAAAUUAGAGUGCUUAAAGCAGGCUAAAACUUCGCCUGAAUACUGUGUGCAUGGAAUAAUGGAAUAGGACCUCGGUUCUAUUUUGUUGGUUUUCGGAACCCCGAGGUAAUGAUUAAUCGGAACGGAUGGGGGCAUUCGUAAUGCGACG
rnacentral:rRNA from 1 species